UACGGAGGGUGCAAGCGUUAUCCGGAUUUACUGGGUUUAAAGGGUGCGCAGGCGGAUAUGUAAGUCAGUGGUGAAAUCUCUAGGCUUAACCUGGAAAUUGCCGUUGAUACUAUAUAUCUUGAAUGUUGUGGAGGUAAGCAGAAUAUGUCAUGUAGCGGUGAAAUGCUUAGAUAUGACAUAGAAUACCUAUUGCGAAGGCCGCUUACUACGCAGAUAUUGAUGCUCAUGCACGAAAGCGUGGGGAUCAAACAGG
rnacentral:rRNA from 1 species